AGUGAACGCUGGCGGCGUGCUUAACACAUGCAAGUCGAACGAGAACGGGUUAUAGCUUGCUAUAAUUGUCAGCUAAGUGGCGCACGGGUGAGUAAUAUAUAGAUAACCUGCCCUCAAGAAAGGAAUAACAGUUGGAAACGAUUGCUAAUGCCCUAUAUGCCUUUAAUACAUAAGUAUGCAAGGGAAACGCUUUAGUGCUUGAGGAUGGGUCUGUAUGGUAUCAGCUAGUUGGUGAGGUAAUGGCUCACCAAGGCAAUGACGCCUAACUGGUUUGAGAGGAUGAUCAGUCACACUGGAACUGAGACACGGUCCAGACUCCUACGGGAGGCAGCAGUGGGGAAUAUUGCACAAUGGACGGAAGUCUGAUGCAGCAACGCCGCGUGGAGGAUGACACAUUUCGGUGCGUAAACUCCUUUUAUAUAGGAAGAUAAUGACGGUACUAUAUGAAUAAGCACCGGCUAACUCCGUGCCAGCAGCCGCCGUAAUAC
rnacentral:rRNA from 1 species